UACGGGGGAUGCAAGCGUUAUCCGGAAUCAUUGGGCGUAAAGCGCCUGUAGGUUGUUUAAUAAGUCUGUUGUUAAAGACUGGGGCUUAACCCCAGGAAAGCAAUGGAAACUACUAGACUAGAGUAUGGUAGGGGUAAAGGGAAUUUCUAGUGUAGCGGUGAAAUGCGUAGAUAUUAGAAAGAACACCGGUGGCGAAAGCGCUUUACUGGACCAUUACUGACACUCAGAGGCGAAAGCUAGGGUAGCCAAAGGGAUUAGAUACCCCAGUAGUCCUAGCCGUAAACGAUGGAUACUAAACAUUGCGUGCUCGCCGUGGUGUUAUAGCUAACGCGUUAAGUAUCCCGCCUGGGGAGUAUGCUCGCAAGGGUG
rnacentral:rRNA from 1 species